rnacentral:rRNA from 1 species
AGUGAACGCUGGCGGUAGGCCUAACACAUGCAAGUCGAACGGCAGCACAGUAAGAGCUUGCUCUUACGGGUGGCGAGUGGCGGACGGGUGAGGAUUACAUCGGAAUCUACUUUUUCGUGGGGGAUAACGUUGGGAAACUUACGCUAAUACCGCAUACGACCUACGGGUGAAAGCAGGGGAUCUUCGGACCUUGCGCGAUUGAAUGAGCCGAUGUCGGAUUAGCUAGUUGGCGGGGUAAAGGCCCACCAAGGCGACGAUCCGUAGCUGGUCUGAGAGGAUGAUCAGCCACACUGGAACUGAGACACGGUCCAGACUCCUACGGGAGGCAGCAGUGGGGAAUAUUGGACAAUGGGCGCAAGCCUGAUCCAGCCAUACCGCGUGGGUGAAGAAGGCCUUCGGGUUGUAAAGCCCUUUUGUUGGGAAAGAAAAGCAGCAGGUUAAUACCCCGCUGUUCUGACGGUACCCAAAGAAUAAGCACCGGCUAACUUCGUG